rnacentral:rRNA from 1 species
CCUACGGGAGGCAGCAGUGGGGAAUUUUGGACAAUGGGCGCAAGCCUGAUCCAGCAAUGCCGCGUGAGUGAAGAAGGCCUUCGGGUUGUAAAGCUCUUUUGUCAGGGAAGAAACGGUGGGGGCUAAUAUCUCCCACUAAUGACGGUACCUGAAGAAUAAGCACCGGCUAACUACGUGCCAGCAGCCGCGGUAAUACGUAGGGUGCAAGCGUUAAUCGGAAUUACUGGGCGUAAAGCGUGCGCAGGCGGUUUUGUAAGUUUGUCGUGAAAUCCCCGGGCUCAACCUGGGAAUGGCGAUGAAGACUGCAAGGCUAGAAUCUGGCAGAGGGGGGUAGAAUUCCACGUGUAGCAGUGAAAUGCGUAGAGAUGUGGAGGAACACCGAUGGCGAAGGCAGCCCCCUGGGUCAAGAUUGACGCUCAUGCACGAAAGCGUGGGGAGCAAACAGGAUUAGAUACCCUGGUAGUCCACGCCCUAAACGAUGUCUACUAGUUGUCGGGUUUUAAUUAACUUGGUAACGCAGCUAACGCGUGAAGUAGACCGCCUGGGGAGUACGGUCGCAAGNUUAAAACUCAAAUGAAUUGACGG